rnacentral:rRNA from 1 species
GAUGAACGCUGGCGGCGUGCCUAAUACAUGCAAGUCGAGCGAACAGACGAGGAGCUUGCUCCUCUGACGUUAGCGGCGGACGGGUGAGUAACACGUGGAUAACCUACCUAUAAGACUGGGAUAACUUCGGGAAACCGGAGCUAAUACCGGAUAAUAUAUUGAACCGCAUUGUUCAAUAGUGAAAGACGGUUUUGCUGUCACUUAUAGAUGGAUCCGCGCCGCAUUAGCUAGUUGGUAAGGUAACGGCUUACCAAGGCAACGAUGCGUAGCCGACCUGAGAGGCUGAUCGGCCACACUGGAGCUGGGACACGGUCCAGACUCCUACGGGAGGCAGCAGUAGGGAAUCUUCCGCAAUGGGCGAAAGCCUGACGGAGCAACGCCGCGUGAGUGAUGAAGGUCUUCGGAUCGUAAAACUCUGUUAUUAGGGAAGAACAAAUGUGUAAGUAACUAUGCACGUCUUGACGGUAACUAAUCAGAAAGCCACGGCUAACUACGUG